CGAGUAAAACAGAUGGUCGCUGCCUAAAGUUUUAGGGAGAGGAAAGUCCGAGCACCACAGAGCAGAAUGCUGGGUAACACCCAGUCAGGGCGACUUGAAGGAAAGUGCAACAGAGAUAUACCGCCUAGAGUAUAUUCUAGGUAAGGGUGGAAAGGUGAGGUAAGAGCUUACCAGCGCAAUGGCGACUUUGCGGCUAUGUAAACCCCAUUUGGUGCAAGAUCGAUUUGAAGCAAUGAGUUGCUCGCUCGCUUCAGAAGUAUCGCUUGAGUUUAUUGGUAACAAUAAACCUAGAUAGAUGACCGUCAAAUACAGAACUCGGCUUAUAGUUUUAGUCGUACA
rnacentral:RNase_P_RNA from 1 species